CCUACGGGUGGCAGCAGUGGGGAAUAUUGGACAAUGGGGGGAACCCUGAUCCAGCGACGCCGCGUGAGUGAAGAAGGAUUUCGGAAUGUAAAGCUCUAUCAGCAGGGAAGAAAAUGACGGUACCUGACUAAGAAGCCCCGGCUAACUACGUGCCAGCAGCCGCGGUAAAACGGAGGGGGCAAGCGUUAUCCGGAUUUACUGGGUGUAAAGGGAGCGUAGACGGUGAAGCAAGUCUGAUGUGAAAGGUCGGGGCCCAACCCCGGGACUGCAUUUGAAACUGUUGAACUGGAGUACAGGUGAGGUAAGCGGAUUUCCUGGUGUAGCGGUGAAAUGCGUAGAUAUUAGGAGGACCACCAGUGGCGAAGGCGGCUUACUGGACUGUAACUGACGUUGAUGCUCGAAAGCGUGGGUAGCAAACAGGAUUAGAUACCCUAGUAGUC
rnacentral:rRNA from 1 species